UAUCAUAGCGAGGUUCUCGAAAGCUUGAUUCGUCAAGUUGCCGGAGGUGGGGACACGAAGGCUGGUGGUAUUAUCCCGCAAUGGACAGAGAUCUGGAGGCGGGGACACGAAGCCAGCCGGUAUUAUCCCACAAUGGCUAGAGAGGUUCGAUCUGGGCCUGUGGGCUAUCCAUUUCGGCCUGACGAAGACGUCGGGAAUUUAAGUGGGGGAGUUUGUAACACCCCAGUCCCACAUUGAGAAGGGUGGAGAUUUUAGUUCAGUUUAUAAGCAUAAGUACUACUAAUAAUUGCACCAACAAAUCAUGAUCUUUUGGGGGCCUGUGGUGGGCUUGUGGAUUACCCAAAUUGUUGCAAUUGGGCCAGUAUAUUUGAGCUUAUUUUCCAAGCCAGCCGGUAUUAUCCCACAAUGGCUAGAGAGGUUCGAUCUGGGCCUGUGGGCUAUCCAUUUCGGCCUGACGAAGACGUCGGGAAUUUAAG
rnacentral:lncRNA from 1 species